rnacentral:lncRNA from 1 species
CAGGCCUAAAGGAGGAGAGGCUGAGAGGCAUAAAGACAAAGGGACAAGGAGGUUCCAGGGGCAUAGAGGCCAAGCUGAAUAGAUACAGAGGUGCCAAAGGGCCGGAGAGGGUGAGGGCCAUAGAGGUAGAGGGGCAGGGAGGCCAAAGGGCAUACGACCUGAGGGAAAAAGAGAGGCCCAGGGACAUAGAGGCUGAGAGGCAUAAAGACAGGGUAGAAGGGGCAGGUGCAGAGGGGUUUAGAGACAGCAGCUGAGGAUAGGAGAGGCUGAGGGACAGAGAAGCUGUGGGACAUAGAGGUUCCUGGACAGAGAUGCAGAACAACCUAGAGAGACAGGCUAGGAGAGGCUGAGGGAAAGAGGCCAAGGGACAUAGUGGCUAAUGGACGUUGACGCGUAAGAGUUGGAGGGCUGGAGAGGCUGUUGGGCAUAGACACAGAGGGACAAAGAGGUCUCAGGGCAUAGAGGCGGAGAUGCAUAGAGGGUUAAUCACAUACAGACAGAGGCCAAGGGGCAUAAAGCUGAGGGACAGAGAAGCAGAGGGUAGAAGAGGAUGUGGGCCAUAGAGGUGGAGAGGCUGAAAAUCAGAAGCACAAAGACAGAGGUGGAGGCAGAGAAGGGGGCUAGAGGGUAGAGACUUGGAGAAGAGACAGAAGCAGAGGAGCAAAGGAAGAAAUGUAGGGGGAGACAGGCUAAGGGGUAGAAAGGCAGAGGAGUGGAGGCUGAGGCCUGGACACAGAGGCAGAAGCAGAGGUUGAGAGGCAGUGAGCCACACAGGCCAAUUCAGAGUGAAGUAGAGAUAGAGAGGCAGAAAGGCACAAGCUGAAAUAACACAGACAGAGGCAAGAAAACCAGGAAGCAGGGGUAGAGGGGCAGAGAGGCAAGGUAAGAAAUGGAGAUGCCCAGAACUCUAAAGGCAGAGAGGCUGGCAAAGAGAGGCAAAGAGGCGAAAGUAGAGCUAAAGCCUAGUUAGAGAGGCAGAAAACUGCAAAGGGAGAGUGUUGGGAAACAGGCUGAUACAAGGCUUUCUCAGGGGCCCCAACGAAUGGAAAAAGGGAACAUUAGUUCUGUGUCCUUGAUCAGGUGCAGUCUGGGGCUUGGGCCAGGGCCUCAGAGGAGUCAGAGUUGCAGUUUCUGGGAUCUGGGCUGUGGCUAUCAGUCCUCCUUCCGGGUGCUGUGUGUGAAGCAUUCCGUGUUCUCUUUGCCAUCAUUGUAUCGUUUAGCUUUCUGCUGACCUUGACUAUCCGUCUCCCCUGCCAACAGUAAGUACUAAGCUGUGUGGCUUAAGAAACUGGCUUGAGCAAGACCUCCUGAUCCCAAACGUUCCUGUCUUCUUCAUCUUCUGCUGCUUCUCUCUAGGGCCCUGUCACAAAGAAUGACCCAUUGGCCCAACCCAAUUGGCACCUGAACAGAGACCAGAGUAAGGAGAAAAGGGUUCGGCAACAGUUCCCAAAUUAGGAGGCACCAUAUUUUCUCCAAUACAUUCGAGUAUAUUCUGGUCUCCUUGGUCUUUUGGCAGAGGUA